UACAGAGGUCUCAAGCGUUGUUCGGAAUAACUGGGCGUAAAGGGUGCGUAGGCCGCACGGUAAGUCAGAGGUGAAAUCCCGGAGCUCAACUUCGGAAUUGCCUCCGAUACUGCCGUGCUUGAGGACUGGAGAGGAGAUUGGAAUUCACAGUGGAGCAGUGAAAUGCGUAGAUAUUGUGAGGAACACUAGUGGCGAAGGCGAAUCUCUGGACAGUUCCUGACGCUGAGGCACGAAGGCCAGGGGAGCAAACGGG
rnacentral:rRNA from 1 species